rnacentral:rRNA from 1 species
GACGAACGCUGGCUGCGUGCUUAACACAUGCAAGUCGAGCGGUAAGGCCCUUUCGGGGGUACACGAGCGGCGAACGGGUGAGUAACACGUGGGUGACCUGCCCUCAGCUCUGGGAUAAGCCCGGGAAACUGGGUCUAAUACCGGAUAUGACUCCAUGACGCAUGUUGUGGGGUGGAAAGCCUUGUGCGGCUGAGGAUGGGCCCGCGGCCUAUCAGCUUGUUGGUGGGGUGAUGGCCUACCAAGGCGACGACGGGUAGCCGGCCUGAGAGGGCGACCGGCCACACUGGGACGUGAGAUACGGCCCACGACUCCUACGGGAGGCGAGCAGUGGGGAAUCUUGCGCAAUGGGGCGAAAGCCUGACGCAGCGACGCCGCGUGAGGGAUGACGGCCU